rnacentral:tRNA from 1 species
AUCUCCGUAGUGUAUGCUCAACACACCUCAUUUUCGUUGACGAGAAGAAUUUUAUUUCCGGAGAUA